CCACGGUUGGGCUGUGUACAUCUCAAAAUCAGAAGCAUGCUGCAAUCUUGGCAAAGGUAUCUUCUCUUUUCCAUAUGGUGUCAAAAGAAUUCCUUCAGUCAACACUACUGCAGCAAGACACAACUUUUCUUCAUCUUCAACAGCAAGUUCACCUUCCUUAGGUUUUAAAAACAAUCGAUCUUCGAGAUCACCAAGAGUAUAGGAUCCUUUACUAGCCCAAAAGUAUGGUUCUUUUACAGGAUCUUUCCCCUUUCGUUGAAGUUCCCUAUGAACAGGUUCACAUUGAAUUCUUGUAUGAACAAAAGACAGUGUAGAGACUAUUAUUACAGGUUUUAUAGUAAAUACUUUAAAAACGAUUGUAAAUCAUGUUUAACACUUUUAAAAGCUUUUAAAAUCCCUUAUAAAUCAUUCAAUGCCACUAAUUUAUGGUUUAAAAACGAUUGUAAACCAUGCAGACACUUUUAAAAUCCCUUGUAAAUCAUUAUAUGACACUUACUUAUGCUUUAAAAACGAUUGUAAAUCAUGUUUAACCCUUCUAAAAGCUUUUAAAAUCUCUUGUAAAUCAUUCUAUUCGACUUACUUAUGCUUAAAAAACGAUUGCUAAUCAUGUUUAACCCUUAGAAAAGGUUUUAAAAUCCCUUGUAAAUAUUCUAUGUCACUUACUUAUGUUUUAAAAUCGAUUGUAAACUAUGCAAACACUUCUAAAAUCCCUUGUAAAUCGUUUUAAGACACUUACUUAUGCUUUUAAAAUCCCUUGUAAACGUGGUUAACACUUCUUUAAGGUUUUAAAAUCCUUUGUAAAUUAUUCUAUGUUAGUUACUUAUGCCUAAAAACGGUUGUAAACCAUGCAUACCCUUUUUCAAAUCCCUUGUAAAUCAUUAUCUGCCACUAACUUAUGCUUCUUAAACGAUUGUUAAUGAAGUAAACCCCUUUUAAAAGCUUUUAAAAUCCCUUGUAAAUUAUCUAUGACACUUACUUAUUUUUUAAAAACGAUUAUAAACUACGCAAACAGUUAUGCAAAUGCCUUGUAAAUCAUUCUACGACAGUUAAUUAAGCUUUAAAAACGAUUGUAAAACUUUAUUACAUGUUGUGAGAUAGAACUCUCUCAAGGAGAAACGGAUAGGUUGAGAAUCAACUCUAAACCAAAGAGUUGAUCCUUUUGUUUUCACUCUCUGCUGCAUGAGAUAGUGAAAGAUUUUUCCAGAAAAUCUGAUUCCCUUCUUAGCCUUCAUUUUUGGUCCCAAUUCAACUAGAGGACCAAGAAACGAACUUCUAAUCUUCUGAAAUAAACACUCGCCUAAAGCUUCCUCUACUUUACUAACUAAAUUCCAAUCCGAGUAUUGUUGAACGGUUCCCAGUGCAAUAGAUUCCUCACCUUCUCUGUAGAUUUGUUCAGGCUAUGUAAGGAUUUCACUCUCUGAAUCCAUCUGCAAAACAUGUUAUGAAACAGCGUCAGAUUUACUAUAAAAUUGACUAUAAAAUUGACUAUAAAAUCGAUUAUAAAAACGAUUACCGUCGGAUCUAUCGAUAUCUCUGGGGAUUGUUUGCGUCGUAGAGAUAUGAUCUGAAUCCUUCAGCGAAGAACAGGUUUAUCGGAGAGGAAAUUCGUCGGCGAUUUUGGGGUUUCUCAGAAAGAAAAUUCGUCGACGAUUUUGAGUGAAAUCGGAGAGGAAAUUCGUUGGCGAUUUUGAGUGAAAUCGGAGAGGGAAUUCGUCGGCGAUUUUGAGUGAAAUCGGAGAGGAAAUUCGCCGGCGAUUUUGAGUGAAAUCGGAGAGGAAAAUCGGAGAGGAAAACGAAGAAGUUUGUGCCAAAACGAAGAAGUUUGUGAAACGAACGUGAAACCUAAUCAUUCAGAGGGUAAGACAGUCAUUUGGCAUAUUAGAAGGGGUAGUUUUAAAAAUGGUCUUCAGGAAAGGGCACUUUUACAAAAGUUUAUUAGAAUAAGGGCAGUUUUGCAAAUCUCCCAAGAUUCAAUUUAAUGUUUCAGAUUUGUUAUCUGUAUUCGUGCUUUUAGCAUUAAAAGGAGUUUUCUUGAAAGUAAUGGAAUUGAUAUGCAAUUCUAAAUAGAAACAUAUACUAUG
rnacentral:sRNA from 1 species